AUCAGCGCAGAAUUCACCAGACUUGUGUCGAUGGACCUGAGCAAGUCCUUUUAUGAGGGUCUUGACAAACACGCCUCAAAGCUGCUGUAUUUGUACCGCUCGAGGCGCCAUGCAGACAUCACAGAAAGGAGUGCCAUACUGGAGCGCCUGGAUAAAAAUGCAUCAAAUCACAGGAAGAGGGUUGCAGUACUGCUGGGGCUGCCACUGUCCAUGCGGGAGAAUCCAUGUCAGUUCUUACAGAUCUGUGAGCACACAGAUUCUGAAGAAGAGUUAAUCAAGGGCGUGACUGUUGGAAUCAGUACAGUUAUGGAUGACGCGAUGGACCCUAUUCCGUGUGACUGUGGUGAUGUAGCCCUUGUAAUGGAAGAAGUUGUCGUUCUACGCAAUCUUGGUGAUGUACCAAAUGCAUUUGUCAACUUGAUGGGAUUGCUUUAUGCACGUAACAUAAACUACCCCACAAACUUCAAAUACACCUUUGAGGUGAUUCAGAGGCUGUUCAUGAACAUCGGAGCUGAUGCCUGCAGUGCACGAGUACAUUCACU
ensembl:lncRNA